AUACGGAAGGUCCGGGCGUUAUCCGGAUUUAUUGGGUUUAAAGGGAGCGCAGGCGGAGAUGCAAGCGUGACGUCAAAUUUCGGGGCUCAACCCCGUCUCGCGUCGCGAACUGCGUCCCUUGGUUGCGGGAAGGGGAGGCGGAACUCGUGGGGUAGCGGUGAAAUGCAUAGAUAUCACGAAGAACUCCGAUCGCGAAGGCAGCCUUCCGGCCCGUCAACGACGCUCAUGCUCGAAGGUGCGGGUAUCAAACAGGAUUAGAUACCCUGGUAGUCCGCACAGUAAACGAUGGACACCCGCGGUUUGGCCUGUAUGGCUGAGCCGCCAAGCGAAAGCGUUAAGUGUCCCACCUGGGGAGUACGCCGGCAACGGUGAAACUCAAAGGAAUUGACGGGG
rnacentral:rRNA from 1 species